rnacentral:rRNA from 1 species
UACCCGCAGCACAAGUGGUGGUCAUUAUUAUUGGGCCUAAAGCGUCCGUAGCUGGCCUGUUAGAUGCCUGGGUAAAUCGAUGCGCUCAACGUAUCGAACUCCGGGUAGACCGGCAGGCUUGGGACCGGGAGAGAUGUGAGCUACUCGAGGGGUAGGGGUAAAAUCCUGUAAUCCUUCGGGGAGGACCAGUGGCGAAGGCGUCACAUUAGAACGGCUCCGACAGUGAGGGACGAAGCCCUGGGGCGCAAACAGG